CUCGGACUCAUCAUCCUCUUCAUCGGAUGAGGAACAAGAGGAAAAGGCCAAUUUCUGCUUCAUGGCCAAUGAAAAUGAGGUAACGCUCGAUCGCCUUUAGAUUUUACUUUUGAUGAGCUUUAUGAUGCUUUUAAUGAACUAAUGAUUGAAUAUAAGGCUAUAAAUGUUAAAAACAGAGAAUUAAAAGUAACUAACCAAACUUAUAUCCGUAAGUAUGAUUCAUUAGUUAAGGAUAAGGAUUUAAUCACCAAAGAAAAUAUAGACCUUAAGACAAGCAACCAACUUUUAACUCAAAAGACUAAUACCUUAACUAAGGAUAAUGAAAAACUAACUAAGAAACUUUCAGAACAAACAAAUCUUAAACAAGGAUCUCACAAAAGAACUAAAUGAUCUAAAGGCAGAAAAUCAAACACUAACCAAAGAACUUAACAAAUACAAACCUUUGGUUGAAAAAUUUACAUGUAGUUCUGAAAAGUUAAAUAUGAUACUCAAUAGUCAACGAGCAGUAUUUAAUAAAGCGGGUUUAGGGUAUAAACCAAGAAAUAAAUAAAAACUUC
rnacentral:lncRNA from 1 species